GAUUCUGCAAGAGUUCGUACCGCCAUCUAUGUCUUCAUUUCAAUCGUUAAAAUUUCCAUUAGUUGGUGAAUGUUGUUGGAUUAUAUAUGAGAUCAGAGUGAAAGAAUGUCAAUCAAAGAAAUUUUAACUUUUCUACUAACAAUACUAUAAUGGAAGAAACAUCGUCGCAGGAUAAAAUUUAUAAAUUUACAUAAUUGUCGAGGAAGAAGACGAUAUGGUGUCAUAAACAAAUGGAAAAUGUGUAAAUAAGAAGAAGAUAAAUCAUAGCUAAAUUCCAGUUCAAUGCAGAAAAAGUGAAAGAGAGCGAGAGAGAGAAAGAGAGAGAGAGAGAGAGAGAGAUAAUGAUAAAAAUAAAACAUUGUUACAGGAUAUGGAAAUAUAUAGAAUAUUUUUAUUUGAUCAUAAGGCAUUUUAGCUUUAAAGAAACAAUGUAUUCCAUGAUAAGUUACGAGAUUUAUGUUUGUUAGUUUAACAAAAUAAUCUCACCUCUCUCAAAAUUCUAUUGAACCUAUAAAAAGUGAUAUGAUCAAAUAUGAUGGUAUUGAAGAUAAUUUAAAAUAUAACAAAUUUCUUAGCCUUUUUCCAAUUGCCAAAUUAAAAGAAAAAAAUGAAAGAUUAUUUGUCUACACCUAAGAAACUUAAACUUGAUAUAGAAAACAUAAAAAAUUUCAAUGGGAUAUAAUUGUAAAUACGUCAUAAUAUUGAAAUUAUUAUGAUAGUCUACUUUUUAUGAUUAUAUUUAUAUUUAAUAGUAAUUUACAAGGGGUACAUAUACAUCGUGAUUAAUACAAGGAUCACUCGGGAAAUCUUCAUGCAUUAGAGUUUUUCUAUGACGGACAAGUACAAAUAUCGGUGUGCACCAUCGUUGAUACCGUCGUAUUUCAUCAAGCAUCCGACAUCGUACAUGAAAUACAAAAUAUCUCCAAUCCUUCUACAGAUUUACAAAAAGACGAAUAGAAGGAAUAACACCUUUACGUACUCGACUUUAUGUUUUUUUGCAAUUGUUCAAAUUUCGCACAUACAUACAGACAAUACACACAGACACACACACACACACACACACACACACACACAUAUAUAUAUAUAUAUAUAAGCGAUACGUAUUACAUAAAAAUACUAUAUACAUCGAUAUCAUCUGAAGUCUUAGGAACGAUCAGUAUCUAAAUCGAAAAGAGUGAACGAAGUCUAAUAUCCUUGCAACGAAUCGUUCAAAUUCUUGAGACGAAAUGCUUCGAUCCACGGAGAAAUCCAUUUCAGAUAUCCUCUACGGAAUUGAACACGCGGUGAGUAUCUUUCUCAAGAAGAAACUUUAGAGUACCGUUCGAUCAUGGUUUAAAUUUUCUAUUAAGUUAAAUGAAACUUUAUACAGAAUAUUCUACAAUCGUAAAAAAUGAAAUAACAAAAGAUUCAGCUAAUAUGAACUCUAAUAUCUAUCCAAUGGAAUUUCAAGCUAAUAUAGCAUUCUAUUAUUGUCAACUGAAGUACUCAUGUGAACCGUGAAACCAAAUUGUUUAACAGUAUACCACCCAAGCAAGAAUUCAUCGACAUUUACUAUAUCUGCUUGACGUUCUCGAUCAAUCCUAUUCUUGAUCUGUCCAUUUUCAUUAAGGCCUGUCAAUCUUUGGAUGGCCUCAAUUAAAUCGGCCAACGGCCGAGUUGUGAUCGUUAUCGUCGAAAUCUGAAAACGAAUAUGUUAAACGAAUCAAGCUUGUUUAUAAUCGAUAUAAUGUUUGACUCGUGCGUCGUUAUAAGUUUCUCGACAUAGUGCGUCGUAUACGUGUAAAUGGAACGUUCCGUGAGACGGAAGUACAUCGAACUUAUCUAAAUUGAGUCCUCGUAGUGCUACCGCAGUUAGAUUAGUCUCUCCUGCAUAUAGAUCUGUCUGUCUGUCCGUACAUUCAUCCUGUCUGUCUGUCUGUCUGUUCGUUCAUCCGUCCGUCUGUCCAUCCGUCUGUUCGCCUGUCCGUCCAUCCAUCCGUCCAUUCGUCUGUUGGUCCUCGCUAUUCACUACUGUUACCGUAGGAACUAACGUGUCACUGCAUGCACCGUGAAAUUAAAUGAUCUCGAUUAACAGAAUCGACGCGGAGUACGCGUUCAUCGCCGCUGGUGAACAAAAGUGGAUUUUCGACAAUCUCUUGGGAAAAUAUUCCUUUCCUCUUUUUUUCUUUUUUUUUUCCCUUUUUUUUUUUCUUUUUUUACACACCAUGCAAUUAUUUAACGUUUCGAUCUCACGCAAAUAUCCAUGGUUGCAUAAUCUCUCAAACGAAUGGAUCAAAGUGUACAAAAGAAUAAGGACGCAUACAAACGAAAUUUUAGAUGUAAAGAAAGAAGAACAAAAAGAAAACGAAGAAAAAGGGCAAGCAAAUAAGGACAUAUUACAGUUCUUUUUUCUUUUUUUGUUUUCUUUGACAAAUAUCAGAAAUCGCGCAAAUUAAGUAUGAUUAUAUGAGAAGGCGAUAUCAUGAUAUUCUCGAAAUCCAAGCAGUCGUUCUGUUCUGAAGAAAACACCCGGUAUAUUGAAUAGGAUAAAGGAUUGUGGUGAAAAUGCGACAGAACUUCUAAAUCAUUAUUUCAUUUACCACCGGUUGGCACUUUACUUUUCUUGUAUAUAUAGGAAAUAUACAAACAAGUAUUACUAUAUAUAGUAUAUAUACUCACGUACACUUCUUUCAUGGUCUAUUUUAUUUUUGAUACCAAUAAAUCGUCUAGCAGUACACGCACAUGAAGUUUCACUUAAACCAAGUUGGAACGGUCACGAUUGAUUCCAGACAUAUGUAAUAUCGUUAAAUCUACGAUCUAUCCUUAGAUUUCUUGAAACUACGUGGAAGUCCUAAAUGACUUUUCAAAUAUUAUAAUUCCUUCUUUUCUUCAUUUUGUGAAUGAUCGAUCGCGAAGAUUUAUUCGUUUUAAGCUUUUCAUUAUCAAUGUCCAUUCGACAAUACGCGUCGCUAUUUGUUUUUUCUUUUUUUUCAAGCAUAGGUUGAAAUAGCAAUAUCGUUCUCAGAGCUUCGUAUUGUUCGUAAUGAAAAAAAUAUAUAAUAGUUUAUAUGCAUAUAUAUAUAUAUAUAUUUUUUUUUUUUUUAAUCGAACAGAAUCUACAUAUAUCGCCAUCCGAUAGAGAUACGAGCUUUGUUAUAUCGUCAAGCUGACAAUCAUGAAUAUAUCCAGUGAUUGACGCCAAUCGAGUUAAAUAAACUAGAUAAAUUUUACGUUUAUCUUCGAUUUAGCCUGUCAAAAAAUUCAUUGGUUUUUAAAAAUCAUAUAAAUAGAUCAAAUUUCUGUGACAAAUCGUACGAAUUUGUGACAAUAUUUGAUCCAUAUAUUUGUUUCUUCGUAGAGCUAUAAUGGAAGAUACUCGUGCAAGAUUUCUGGUGUUAGAUCGCGAUCAUAAAUGCACGACUGGGAUCAUCUUUUAUUAUCUCAUAUAUUUUCAAGUACGUAUAAGACUACAGUCAUCAAUCUUCAUCUGCCCGGCAGUAAUUUAAUUAGUUCACGUUUUCCGCUGUAUAAAUAUUCUCGUACGUAGGAAGGUAUAUAUCUUAGGGGUUCAUUGCUUCGGCCAUCCUCUAAAAUAAAUGCAUAUUCAUGAUACGCAUAAACAAGGGAAGACUAACGGAUGUAUAAAUACAUUUAACUUAUGUAUUUGUAUAUCGACAUUCGAGGCACAUCUACUGAUAUCUAUAAACACUCGAAACUUUUAAGAGAUUCAUUUUGGAGUUAAGUACCGUACAACGUGGCACGUAAAUGAUUAAGUCGAUUAUACGAGGAAUGCCUGGAAUUUCGGUGGGAGGUUUAAUUAGAUCAUCAAUGAGUACAAUCGGCGAUUGGAAAACGAUCGGUGCCCGAAGGGAAGUGCCUUUAUCGAGGGAUGAUAAACUGUAUUCGAAUAUAUUCGCAAAUUGAUUUUUUUAUCCAGUCGCAAAUUCGAUAAAUUCAUUUCGCGAAUAUUGUUAAAAAUAGUAACACUGUGAAUUAGUGUGUGCCAAAAUAAAAAAUUGUUUAACAUUAUGCGAGAUCAACGUUCGGGUUGCAUAAUAAUAUAACUUCAUAAAGGAUGAUUGGCAAUGUUAUUAUUUUUACGUAUAAUGAAUAUGGAUUUAUGAGCUUUCGAUUUUGAUAUUGGUCAUAUUAAUAUCAAGAUACAAUAUAUGUGAUUUUUGUACUAAUCAAAGACAUGUAUAAUUAUUUUCCUUCGUUGAAUUUGACAUUUUCUAAGCACAUUAAAAAAAGAGUUUUUUUUUUCUCGAAGAAUAAUAAAUAAAAAAUUAUAUAUGACAUGAAAUGGCAUGGUACAAAUUAAUAUAUCUGUCAAAAUAUUUGGCGGAUUACUAGGAGCAAUUUGUGAUCACUAUAAAUAAAUAAAUUUCAAAGGAUAUGAAUAUGUUGCCGUAUUACACGACAUCGCCGUGGUUAUUUUACGUAAUCGGUAGAAUAUCUUUUGUAGUAAAAUCAAGUUUCAAGCGAGAGCUGAUUCGCUUUAAAGUAAUUAGGAAUAUAGAAAUACGUACCAUGUCGCUUAUUGAAAUAAUGUGAAUCAACCUGCGCGACCUCACGUUAUUACCGUGACGGAAUUAGCUAACAAUUCUCUGUGCUAAUUACUUCAUAAUUUGUAGUUGUAAUAAGAUUAAUUUUAAUACUAUGAAAUACGAUAGCGUGAAGCUUGUAAAUUCCUAAAAUACAUGAAAUUCUUUUCAUAUUUUCAGGUAUGUAGGUAGUACGCUCGAUAGGUUCGAGCUGACCGUUCCGACUAAUUUCGCAUGUCGUGCCAUGAUAUGUAGAAGCCAGUUUUAUUGGCUUUAGACAAGCGUGUACGAUAUCCGUGGCAAUUUUUCACGUAAGCUUUCCAAAAUUUGCAGUAGCCUGCAGUCUCGCGAAACAAGUAAUGAGCAGUUACGAACGCUUACAAUGCGACUAUUUCCUCCCUAUAUACGCGUAUAUGUACGUACAUUGGGAGUCCAUUUCAAAGUUGCGCGGUCAGUGAAUUUGUAACGGUGCGCGUAACAAUGUUAUGCGCAUAUUGUCGAAAAAACAUCAAGGAUAAUAAUAAUAAUGAUAAUAAUAACAAUAAUAAUAAUAAUAAUAAUAAUAAUAAUAAUGAUUACGCUAUCGCAAGAAAAUUGGGGCGAACUACGUAUAUAUUAAGAUAUUAGGACAGGGGUUGAAAUGAAACAUGACCGUAAUAGCUAUAUACUGAAUUUAUGUAAUUCGGAUGUGAAAUCUUUGAAUCGAAAUAAUAUACGGAUGAUCUACGAUUAAAUGUCGCUCUCGCUUUUGUAUAAUAGCUUUCGCUUUUGUUCUUUGCAAGAGAGACGAAAAGACACGGUUAACGUCGGCAUCGUAGUAGCUAAUUAACUUACAACUCGGAAUUUGUACGCUCGUAAAGUCGUUCUUGCUUUCGUUUUAAUUCCGAAUAUAUAUAUAUAUAUAUAUAUAUGUGUGUGUGUGUGUGUGUACCUUAGGGAAGAGGGCGAACGAGUUUUCACGUCGCAUAAAUCGACGAAGAAGGGCGCGGUUAGUAGCGCGCGAUUGCUAAAGAAUUAUGGGAAACGUAGUUUCGUUUCCAGAAUGCUAAUUUCAAUAAUAGUUUCACGCGCUACUCUUUCUGUGGUCGUAGAAAAUGAACAAAAGAAAGAUAGUGAGUGAGAGAGAGGGAGAGAGAAAGGGGAGGAGAAUAGGCGACGUUUAUAUAACACAAAACAACACAACGUAACGUGACACAACAAGGGGAAAGAGAGUCGAGUUCGCUCAUGCGCGCGUGCACGCGAGCGCACGUUUAGUGUCGAGCUAUUAUUCGGCAGUUAACGAGGCAAAAUGCUCGUGACGAUAACGCCGCGGGGGUAGCUCCCAAAGCCAGCCAAUAAUUAUUACACGACUCCACGAAGCGGUUAUUGUCCCAAUUCGGGGGUCGCUUUGCGGAUAAUGGCUGCGCUCGAGAGGUCAUGUGAGCCUGACGUUCCAGCAUGUCAACAGCAACUAUGCAUCAUCGGAUGUCUGGCGCACGUAAACGCGUCCUCCACCCCACCUCCUAACUCCACCUCCUCAUCUGUUCGCCCUCCGCAUGCUAGCGAUUUCCUCCACCUCGUAUCUGCUAUCCGCUUCUCCACCAUAUCACUCGACGCUUGUGCAUCCUCCGUCGGAUAUACAGGCGAGCUCAUUCAUUAUAAUAAACAGACGAUCGGUCCCAGGUGAUAUAUCGAUUCGAUUUUACAUCCUGUAAGACUUUGAUUUUCCAUUCGGUCGACGACGAUGACGAUGGCCUUGGUACGGUUACUAUACGACACUAUCAUUUAUUCGAAACAAUAUAAACGACAAUAUAUGUAUAACGUAAAUAUAUUUUGUAUAUAGAUAGGAAAGUUUCACAAUCAUGAUAGUUUCGAAUAUAUCAACAUAUACAUAAUUUCUCUCUCUCUCUCUCUCUCUCUCUCUCUCUCUCUCUCUCUCUCUCUCUCUCUCCAUCUAUCUGUACAAAUAUCGCUUAAGAAAAAUGAGAUUGUGUUCGAUAGAAUCGACUUGUUUGUUAAUUUUAAUCCAAUGAAAUAAAAGGAAACCUAUCGAUUAA